UACGGAGGGUGCAAGCGUUAAUCGGAAUUACUGGGCGUAAAGCGUGCGCAGGCGGUUUGUUAAGUCCGCUGUGAAAUCCCCGAGCUCAACUUGGGAAUUGCAGUGGAUACUGGCAAGCUGGAGUAUGGUAGAGGAAGGUGGAAUUCCCGGUGUAGCAGUGAAAUGCGUAGAGAUCGGGAGGAACACCUGUGGCGAAAGCGGCUCACUGGACCACAACUGACGCUGAGGCGCGAAAGCUAGGGGAGCAAACAGG
rnacentral:rRNA from 1 species